GCAGCUGCAGGGUGUGACCUAUUGGGA
rnacentral:piRNA from 1 species